rnacentral:rRNA from 1 species
GAGUAACACGUGAACAAUCUGCCCUCGAAUCUGGGAUAACAGUUCCAACGAGCUGCUAAUACCGGGUAGGUUAGUUUCGUCGCAUGGCGAGACUAAGAGAGUUCCAAUUGGAACGUUCGAGGAUGAGUUCGCGGCCCAUUAGCUAGUUGGCGGGGUAAAGGCCCACCAAGGCAACGAUGGGUAGCCGGCCUGAGAGGGUGAUCGGCCACAUUGGGACUGAGAUACGGCCCAGACUCCUACGGGAGGCAGCAGUAGGGAAUUUUGCGCAAUGGACGAAAGUCUGACGCAGCAACACCGUGUGAGGGAUGAAGCAUUUCGGUGUGUAAACCUCUGUCGAUGGUGAAUAAUGUUUCGGGGAGUGGAAAGCCUCGGAAUUGAAGGUAGCCAUGAAGGAAGCACCGGCUAACUCUGUGCCAGCAGCCGCGGUAAUACAGGGGGUGCAAGCGUUGUUCGGAAUCACUGGGCGUAAAGGGAGCGUAGGCGGAACUACAAGACAGAGGUUAAAUCUCCGGGCUCAACCUGGAACUUGCCUUUGUGACUGUGGUUCUUGAGUAUGGUAGAGGUUAGUGGAAUUUCCGGUGUAGCGGUGGAAUGCGUAGAGAUCGGAAAGAACACCAGAGGCGAAGGCGACUAACUGGACCAAUACUGACGCUGAGGCUCGAAAGCGUGGGGAGCAAACAGGAUUAGAUACCCUGGUAGUCCACGCUGUAAACGAUGAACACUAGAUGUCGGG